rnacentral:rRNA from 1 species
UACGAAGGGGGCUAGCGUUGCUCGGAAUCACUGGGCGUAAAGCGCACGUAGGCGGAUUGUUAAGUCAGGGGUGAAAUCCUGGAGCUCAACUCCAGAACUGCCUUUGAUACUGGCGAUCUCGAGUCCGGGAGAGGUGAGUGGAACUGCGAGUGUAGAGGUGAAAAUUCGUAGAUAUUCGCAAGAACACCAGUGGCGAAGGCGGCUCACUGGCCCGGUACUGACGCUGAGGUGCGAAAGCGUGGGGAGCGAACGG